UUCACAGUUCCUGUUAACUUCCUUGACAAUCUGCAGAAUCAGUGAUUUUGACAAGCCAUUGGACUUGGUUGAGAAGAUUCAGAGUCCCUUGGAGAAGAUGUAUGUGCUCAAGGUGGUUCGUGAUCUCCAUGAUGGCGCAGUCCUAUUGUCUCUCCUUUGCACUGGUGGCACAUCGCUCUCUCCACUAUGCCAAUAGCUCCUUGGUGAUUCCAGGUAAGAAAAGAAAGUCAGAGAGGAAGCCUGUGUCCUUUGGAGCCCCUAUAAGAUAACUGCAAAGCCUUGCAAAUCUGCUUUUCUGUCUUUUCCAGUCUAGCACAUGCAGUACUAUGAAGCAGGUGCACAAAAUAAUUUAACUAAGGACCAGCACGUCUCUGAAAAGCAAAAUCACACAGAGCUAGGGUAAAAGAGGAUAAAACUUUAGCUAACUUAGUACUUUCUUUAUAGCAUGCAGGAUUCAAGAGGAGGUAUCUAAUGUGGCUGUUCUCUCUCUUCUCAAGCCCUCUCUUUCCCUUUAAUUUCCUCUCAUUUCCAUGUAGCCCACCCUUUCAAGUCCUUUGAUCAAUUCUCUCUCCUUAUUCUGAGGAAAUACCAACAUUACCUCUGGAAGAAAAAGUUUUUCAUUCAUUCUUUACUUCAGUUCUUCUCUGAAUCUUGAAAACAUCCUUCUCUCAGGUAUGCAGAUGCUAAUGAAGAUUCUCCUCUUCAGUGAUAACCUGUUUGUUUAGCUGAAAAUGAAAUUGGUUCUUCAACUACAGGGAGAACUCUAGCCGGUUUCCUUGCUGGUAAGCUCACCCACCAUUAUGGGUUGAAUUAUUUGGAGAGUUUGGAGAAUUAUUUGGGCCAUAUUUGGAGAUAGGUUAUUCUCAGAGGUAUUAAGUUAAGAGAAUGCCAUUAGGGUAGGCCCUAAUCUAAUACAAUUGGUGUCUUUGUAAAAAGAUAUCAUAAAAAGAGAAAUUCAAACUCAGAGAUAGGCACAAAGAGACAAGGUCAUGUGAAGGUUAUGUAGAGGUCAGAUUGCCGCAGCAGAAGCCAAAGUAUCCCAGUGAUUGCCAGCAAACCACCAGAAGCUACGAGAGAAGCACAGAGUAGUUUCCCUCAUUGUCCUUAGAAGGAACAGCCCUGGAGAACCUUCAUGUCAGACCCCAGAACUUUUAGACAAUAAAUUUCUGUUGUUUAAGACACCCAGUUUGUGGUUCUUUGUUGUGGCAGCCCUAGCAAACUCCACUUGCCUUUCUGAAAGGCAGAGUAGCCUGAUCUCUGUUUGACCUGUUAGCCUGGUCCUGCCCACGAGUCUUCACAUCCUCUUUGGGCCUGGCUUACAAUAGCAGGGGCUUCUUUGGGCCCCAGAGAGCCCCUUUGCUUUCUGAGAGGGCUGGAGCUGGCUCUGAAUUAUUUAUUCUAAUAUCCCUGUCAACCCAUCAGACCCAGAUGCAAAAUGUGUUCUUUCUCCCUCCUGCUGUUGCUCUUCCUGGGCUCUACCAGAGGAGCAGAGGUUGCUCCCUUGGGCUUCUCCCUCUCAGCUGGGAUAUUUUUUUAAAC
rnacentral:lncRNA from 1 species